CUUAGUACUAAUGUCACCCUGCAGCCCAAGACUGGUUGCCCACUGAAGCUAAGCAGGGUUGAGCUUGGUCAGUACCUGGAUGGGAGACCUCCUGGGAAAACUAGGUUGCUGUUGGAA
ensembl:rRNA 5S_rRNA 5S ribosomal RNA